AUAUUGCCGUGAUCACCCAUGUUGGUGUCGGUUGUUCUUGGCUGUUGACGGUUCUGUCUUUCUAAUCUUGCGAGUUCAUCGUUGGUCAGUUGAUGUAGUGGUCCUUGUGAACACUUGGAACAAGACACGAUAACAAGCCUUAGAGACAAGAUCUGAUUAGUUCACUUAAUACCCUAAUAUCUACUCUCACUGAUUAGAGAUACAAAGCUCAUUCAAUAUAUGUCAAUUUAUCUCCUAAGCGGUUAGCUAGGUGAUUAAAUCAGAAAUCGAACAUUAAGUGAUCAAUUCAGUGUAAGCCGUAAGAACAAUACGAAUGAAGAACAGUUAAGAUCACUUAUUUGUGUUCAGUUCAUGCGGCUAACACCCUAUAACCCUAAGCAAGCUUAGC
rnacentral:lncRNA from 1 species